rnacentral:rRNA from 1 species
CCAGUUGGAACGACUGUUAAUACCGCAUAAUGUCUACGGACCAAAGUGUGGGACCUUCGGGCCACAUGCUAUUGGAUGCGCCUACGUGGGAUUAGCUAGUUGGUGAGGUAAUGGCUCACCAAGGCGACGAUCCCUAGCUGGUUUGAGAGGAUGAUCAGCCACACUGGAACUGAGACACGGUCCAGACUCCUACGGGAGGCAGCAGUGGGGAAUAUUGGACAAUGGGCGCAAGCCUGAUCCAGCCAUGCCGCGUGUGUGAAGAAGGCCUUCGGGUUGUAAAGCACUUUCAGUUGGGAGGAGGGGUUGCGUGUUAAUAGUACACAGCCUUGACGUUACCAACAGAAGAAGCACCGGCUAACUCUGUGCCAGCAGCCGCGGUAAUACAGAGGGUGCAAGCGUUAAUCGGAAUUACUGGGCGUAAAGCGCACGUAGGCGGUUUUUUAAGUCAGAUGUGAAAGCCCCGGGCUCAACCUGGGAAUUGCAUUUGAAACUGGAAAACUAGAGUGUGUGAGAGGGGGGUAGAAUUCCAAGUGUAGCGGUGAAAUGCGUAGAGAUUUGGAGGAAUACCAGUGGCGAAGGCGGCCCCCUGGCACAACACUGACGCUCAGGUGCGAAAGCGUGGGGAGCAAACAGGAUUAGAUACCCUGGUAGUCCACGCCGUAAACGAUGUCUACUAGCUGUUCGUGACCUUGUGUCGUGAGUAGCGCAGCUAACGCACUAAGUAGACCGCCCUGGGGGGGUUACGGUCGCAAGAUUAAAACUCAAA